GAACACAACUCUCAGCAACGGAUAUCUU
rnacentral:rRNA from 1 species